rnacentral:rRNA from 1 species
UACAGAGGGGGCAAGCGUUGUUCGGAAUUACUGGGCGUAAAGGGCGCGUAGGCGGCCUGCUAAGUCGAACGUGAAAUCCCUGGGCUCAACCCAGGAACUGCGUCCGAUACUGGUUGGCUUGAAUCCGGGAGAGGGAUGUGGAAUUCCAGGUGUAGCGGUGAAAUGCGUAGAUAUCAAGAGGAACACCUGAGGUGAAGACGGGCUGCUGGGCCAACACUGACGCUGAGGCGCGAAAGCCAGGGGAGCAAACGGG